CUCAAUUUGUGCUCAUUAGCGGAAAGAAUGGAGCAAGUCAAAGGGGAUUUCCUCCCACCCCCAUGUACUGAUUUCUAAAAGAAAAUUCUCACAGGAGGCAAAAGAAACUCGACAGGAGGGUGAAUUCUGAAUGUACAAAUGAGAGAAAACAGCAACGGAUAUGAUGCCUGCCCUUAGAGACCUUAUAAUCCAGACUAAAUUUCCUGCAAGACUCCUGGCACCAGAGAGCCCUUCCUGACUAAUUCCACACCAUGGAACCCUCUUACCUCCUCCAUUCCCUCUUGUAACUCGGCCAGCACCUGGCAUAUGAUAGAUUUAUUUAAGUCCCUGCUCUUCCAUCCCCAGCUCUACCCCAAAGAUGCCAACUCCAUGAGAGCGGGGACUUUGCUUUGUUCACUGCUGUAUACCCAACACCUGGAGCAAUAAAU